AAAAUAUUAAAAAAAUAUUGUUUCCUGAUAGGGUAGUACUAAUAACAGAUUUAUUUAAAUUUAGUAAUUUUCUCUUUUUCUGCGUAGUGAAUUUUCAUUCCGGAGAAUCGAAGAAUCGCACAGAAUUGUCACUCUUUUAGAAUGAAGUUUCGCGUUACGAAAUUUAGUGAGAAACAAAGACCUCGUUACUUCCCAUCUCUGAUAAACACUUUAACAGAACACGAUAUCAUAAAUACAACAAGUACUUCAGAAUGUACAUAAGUCUAUUUCGAUGCAAGGUCGUGAAAUCUUAAUCUUAAUUAUCUUUUGGUGUGCGCAAUAUUAAAACUAUUGCGGAAUAUCCUGAGCGUUUAUUUUUAAAGGUUCCGCUUCUAUUUGGAAUCAUUUGCCGCAUACCUAUUCAGGUUCUCACAUUCCGUUAUGUAAAAUCGUGUACUUAAUCGUAUUAGAUAUAUCCAUUAAAUGACGAAAGCGAAAUUCCUCGAAUAUAAUUCGCCUCCUUCCGCCGCAACAGAUAAACAAUCGAGCCACUCAGCUGCGGCGGCAUACGUAAUAUCUCAUACGGAUUCUUUCAGAAAGGCGUAAUCGUCGCGUCAGCAUAAACGCGGAUUUCUUUUUUUUUCCCAGGCUCUCUGGCACGUGUCGGCGAUUAACGCGCGCACAUGCGCGUCAAUCGGCCCGCCAAACGGUUCGCGCGUCGUCAUCUCGAGUCAUGGCAUCUAUUUCGCGCUUUUCGCUGACAGUGCUGAAAAUCAGGCUGCGUGACGUGCGCUAGAUAAAACGUGAACGAUAAUUCUGGUCUAUUCGCGGGAAAAACUCGAUUAAAGCGUUAAGAUUACACGGAGGAGCGGUACACGCGCGACGGCCGUCGCUUGUGUGAGCGACGAGGGCGGGCACGUGGAAGGCCGUCUUACGUCAUUCUGCCCCGUACGCUCGCUCUAUUAGAGAUGCAGGGACGACGAAUGCCUCUGCGCCCGGAGCGGCGCGGCGAGGCGACACGCGCGUAUACAGUGUAUACGUCGUACACGCGCCGCCGACCUGUAUAGACCGUCGCCGCCGUCGCCGCCGCCGCCGCCGCCGCCGCCGCCGUGGUCCGUGUGGUGCGACACGUGCGCGCACUGACAUCAUUCCCGACGUCGCCGUGGACACGUGUUAAUGAGAAAACGCAUCCUCGCUGCGUAUAAACUGUCGCCAAUUUUUCACGGUCGAAGGGGACGCAGCCCUAGAGGAGUAUCAGGGCGCUGAUAUAUAUUAGAGAUAUGGAAAAGUAGGACGAUAGCUCUUAUAGUGGUGCCAGGAGUCGGAGGGGAAUGGGACUAGGGUAACGUCUUAUCGGAUUUUGUGAUAAUUGAUCCCAGCUUAGAAAUGAUUAGUCGCACUAACAUCGAUAUAGCCGACGUCGAAUUCUAUUUGAUACCUUUGUUAUCUUCAACCUCAUCGUAAUUGCUUUUGUACCCCGACAAGUAUAUUGCGCAACUAUUGUGCAAUAAUGGUAUCACGAGUUGAUGAAAAUUUUGUAAUUACGCCGAGAUGAUACGCUACAACACACGCUGCAGUUUUAUCGGAAUAAAAUUUCUCAAUACUUUUCAAAAAUUAGACAAAUUGAAAUUUCAAGUAAAAUUAUUUUACAGUUGUUUCAAAAACCAUAUUCUUUAUUUGAAAUUUCCCCAUGAUGAGUAUGUAAUAUUUUAUAUCGCAAUACUUUUACAUUAGUAAUUAGGAAUAAUUAUGCAUUUUUAUAAGCAUGUGUAUAGAUUAAUUAUGUUUCUGAAUGUUUUAUAUGUAACAUAGCUAAAAUAUUUUUCUCAAUUGUUGAACAAUUUCUUUCUAAAUUUAAUUUUGCAAAUAUUUAUAUAUCGUUAAAAUGAUUCGCUAUAUCGUUAUAAUUUUGUCGAAAUGCUAUCUCGAAAUUAAUUGGACAAAUAGUUAUCAAUGUUUUGUAAAAGGUCAAUAUUUUUAUAUCUAUUUUUGUAAAUAUACCUAUAUAAUUGCAGAUAAUAUUCUUUUUAUACGAGAUUUCAUCAUAUAAUUUAAUAAAUGUCGUCUCGUGUCAGAGUAUUAAUUGAGCAAUCGCGAAUAUUUUUAUAAAAUUUUUAUCUUUUGGUCGAUUUUUUCUCGACUCGACGGGAAUUAAUUCGACUAAUCUUUCUGGUUGAUUAAUCCAUUUCUGGUUGAGAUAUGUUUCGUAUCAAUCGAUCCGCGUUAGCCGACCUUUAAUUCUGACAUUUUGUCUAAUUGCACAUUAAUUUUUAAUUUAAAUUUUAAUCUACGAGUCCGCAUUUUUUCUGGCACUUUCUAUACUUGGUACCUUCUAUACUCUUAUUUUCAAUAGGACAUUUGUUAAAUUAUAUGAUGAAAUCUUGCAUAAAAAUUAUAAUUUGCAAUCAUGUAGAUAUAUUUACAAAAAUAAAUGUAGAAGUUUUGACCUUUUAUAAAGCAUUGAUAAAUGAAUGCGCAAUUAAUUACAAAAUAUUAUUUCGGCAAAACAAAUGACAAUACGAUGAAUCAUCUUAAUAAUACAUUUACAUAAUUAAAUUUAGAAAGAAAUUCUUUAAUAAUUGCAAAAAUAUUUUAACACUAUUAUGUAUAAAGCAUUUUUAAAUUUAAUUACUCCAUUGUACAUAAAGUCAUAGAAAUAUAUGCUUAAAAUGUUUCUAAAACAUGAAAUAAUUAAAUUCAUAAGUCAAGUCUUGAGCUAAUAAAAAUAACGUUGUCAAAAAUAAAAAUUAUCUUUAAUUAUAAACAUUGAUUCAUUUGAAACAUUUAACACGUUUUGGAUGUAUUAAUCUUUUCUCAGCCGUAAAAUAAACAUAUUAUCAAAAUAAACGCGAGACACUUGCAUUAACACAAAAUAAGUUAAACGAAUAAAUGUAAUAACUGAAUUAAUUAUAAACGCAAUUAACAAUUCAGCUUGAUCAAAAAGUUAAUACAGUCCUGUAUAUCGAUAAUCAAGUUGGAAAAAACUGUUGCUAGUUUUUUCGUUCGUAUAAUUCGUCUCGCGUGACAUUCAAAGGCCAACAUCAGAUUAAUGAUUCUUAAAUAAUUUAGUUUAGAUUUGAAUAUUAUAAUUGACUGUAUACCACGAAACUACUCUUUUUAUCGAUCGACACAAUCAAUUAUUUGACCUUAUGUUAAUCAAUUAUUUAACUCUACGUUUUUGUAAUUAUUGCGCUAAGAUAAUAAUGCAACAAUUUUAUCGCAAUAAAAUUUUCUAAAUAAUAUUUGUCAAAAAUUAGACAAAUCUAAGUUUGAGAUAUAAAUAUUUUACAAUUAUUUAUAAAACCAUUUGAUUCUUUAUUUCAAACGUCAUCUUAGCGCAAAAUUUUCGUCAGUUCAUCUAAGAUGACAUCUAAAAUGAAAUAUUUGCAUAAUGUAUCUAUCAGGAAUGAGAUCCCUUUCUUUACUCCUUUAUACCUUUCUGUAUUAUUUUAUCGUAUAUUUUAUAAGUACAUUUAUGUUACUUAUAUGUACUCAUAGUACAUAUAAAUUACACUUAUGUUAAUUGUACCUAGCUGCAUGUGUUUGCAAGAUUUAUUAAAUUUGUUUCUCAUCUUAUAGCUCAGUUUCACCAUUUUCGCAAUUUUCUCUUUUCUGUUAAAUCCCAAUGCGCGUCAUUACAAGUACGAUAAGUACGUUAAGUACUAACUUCUCGAAACUUUUCAUACGUAUUAUGUACAACAAAUGCGUGGUAGAUGUCUCGACAACCACUGGCUGUCCUCUCAAAUUCUUUGACCAAGUCGUAACCAAUUUCUUUUCUUAGAAGAUAUAAAUUCUAGAAGAAAUACUCUAGUAGUUUAUGUGGCAAUUGCCUAUUGAAAAUGAAAGACUUUUUGUGACGCAACCAAAUAUUGAUUAGGAAUACUCUGACAGAAUUUUAAUGGCUUAUUAGUGUACUAGCAUAUUAAGUGAUUCGAUUUACAUGUAAAUUAAAUACGCAGUAAGAACUUUGCAGUUUAGAUAGUCUCAUAUAUUAAGCUGUCGUUAGUUUGACAACAAAAUGACAUCUCUAACAUUUUUGAUAAAGUUUUUGAUAAAAUUUGGAUACCAAAAUAACAAUAGAUGACGUUAGCUUGGGUUAUCAAAGAACUUGUGCUACUUUAAAAAAUAAAUAUUUAUUGAUAUAAUAAUUAUUAAUAUAUUUGUACUUUUGAAAUAGAAAUAUGAUUGAUAUCGAGAUUGAACUAAUAACCGUAACACAUUUUUUUUCAACUUACUGAGAUUAUUUCCCUGUUUAUGAUAAUUUUCUAAUUCUACUUCGGCUGCUAGUUUACAAUUUACUUUUGCGUUAUCUGUUUAAACUUCACACUUAUCUAUAUUUUUUCUUGUUGUAUUGCGUUGCGAGUUUACGUCUCGUAAUUAUCUGAAUAAAUUAUCUGAAUAAAAAUGGAAAGGACAAGAAACAUUGUAAGAAGAAAAAAAAGGAAACAUUUUGUUAUUUUGUUUCACGGAAAAAGAAUGUAAACAUUAUUGUAUCAAAUAAAAAAAUUGCAUAAUUUGAAAA